AGACUGAAGGCUGCACUGUCAGCUUCCCUACUUUUGAGGUUUUGGGACUCGGACUGGCUUCCUUGCUCCUCAGCGUGCAGAUGACCUACUAUGGGACUUCACUUUGUGAUCAUUGUGAAAUUUUGUAUCAGAUGAACAACCGAAGAGACCGUUUAAUUAAUAGUAAUGCUUAACUAACUGAUCAUCACCAUACCCAGAAGAAGGCCCAUUGCACUUAGUAGAUGUGUCAAUCUUCAUCUAGAGCAGCUUGGUUGUCUGUGAUGACUGCCCACCUGACGAGCCAGCCAACUACUAUGAACGUUAGAAUGUUUUACGGACAUCCUUUGCUGGAGGCAUCCAGGACCCAGAAGACUAUCUGACAUCUGGACAUCAGAGUGGGAAAUUGUCAAGGGCUUUCAGUUUGGUCACUGUGACAUGAUUCCUUUCAUGAUCCAUGUCAUUUCCCUUUUAUUGCCCAGACAAUUCAGCUGCAAGGUUUUGUAAUGAACAAACUCUCAUUAAUGUCUUUCUUAUGGAAAUUUAGAGAACAAGGAUAUUUGUUAAGUGGUAUUUAGAUGCAAUUUUCCCCCAGUUGGCAAUUCCGCUAAAUAAAUAAAUGUGUUCUACAAA